AGCGAACGCUGGCGGCAGGCCUAAUACAUGCAAGUCGAACGGAUCCUUCGGGAUUAGUGGCGGACGGGUGAGUAACACGUGGGAACGUGCCCUUUGGUUCGGAACAACUCAGGGAAACUUGAGCUAAAUACCGGAUAAGCCCUUCGGGGAAAGAUUAUCGCCAUUGGAGCGGCCCGCGUCUGAUUAGCUAGUUGGUGGGGUAAAGGCCUACCAAGGCGACGAUCAGUAGCUGGUCUGAGAGGAUGAUCAGCCACACUGGGACUNAGACACGGCCCAGACUCCUACGGGAGGCAGCAGUAGGGAAUCUUGCGCAAUGGGCGAAAGCCUGACGCAGCGACGCCGCGUGGGGGAUGAAGGUCUUCGGAUUG
rnacentral:rRNA from 1 species